rnacentral:rRNA from 1 species
AUUGAACGCUGGCGGCAGGCCUAACACAUGCAAGUCGAGCGGAUGAAGGGAGCUUGCUCCUGGAUUCAGCGGCGGACGGGUGAGUAAUGCCUAGGAAUCUGCCUGGUAGUGGGGGAUAACGUCCGGAAACGGGCGCUAAUACCGCAUACGUCCUGAGGGAGAAAGUGGGGGAUCUUCGGACCUCACGCUAUCAGAUGAGCCUAGGUCGGAUUAGCUAGUUGGUGGGGUAAGGGCCUACCAAGGCGACGAUCCGUAACUGGUCUGAGAGGAUGAUCAGUCACACUGGAACUGAGACACGGUCCAGACUCCUACGGGAGGCAGCAGUGGGGAAUAUUGGACAAUGGGCGAAAGCCUGAUCCAGCCAUGCCGCGUGUGUGAAGAAGGUCUUCGGAUUGUAAAGCACUUUAAGUUGGGAGGAAGGGCAGUAAGUUAAUACCUUGCUGUUUUGGCGUUACCAACAGAAUAAGCACCGGCUAACUUCGUG